GACGAACGCUGGCGGCGUGCUUAACACAUGCAAGUCGAACGGUGAAGCUCCAGCUUGCUGGAGUGGAUCAGUGGCGAACGGGUGAGUAACACGUGAGCAACCUGCCCCUGACUCUGGAAUAAGCGCUGGAAACGGCGUCUAAUACUGGAUACGAGAAGGGUCCGCAUGGGCACUUUCUGGAAAGUUUUUCGGUUGGGGAUGGGCUCGCGGCCUAUCAGCUUGUUGGUGAGGUAAUGGCUCACCAAGGCGACGACGGGUAGCCGGCCUGAGAGGGCGACCGGCCACACUGGGACUGAGACACGGCCCAGACUCCUACGGGAGGCAGCAGUGGGGAAUAUUGCACAAUGGGCGAAAGCCUGAUGCAGCGACGCCGCGUGAGGGAUGACGGCCUUCGGGUUGUAAACCUCUUUCAGCAGGGAAGAAGCGAAAGUGACGGUACCUGCAGAAGAAGCGCCGGCUAACUACGUG
rnacentral:rRNA from 1 species